ACCACAACAUUCCAUCCAUAUAUAAAGACCCUUUUACCUUAAAAAAACCAAUAUAACCCAACAAAGAGACAUCAAACUCAUAAUUUAUCAAAAUAUGGACGAUUUGCCAUCUAAAUGAUCAUGAAAAGAGUAAUUUAGAGAAACUAAUGAAAAUAUUCAUACCCUAUUAAUGUUGCCAACAUGAUCCUCAAACUGAAAUCUAAUUCCUGAACAUGAUUAAUUCAAAAGAGACUGCAAAUGAUACAUCAGGUUACACUAUUAAUGUUGCCAACAUGAUUAUUUAAAAGUAAACAAACGAUAAAGAUCAAAGAGGAAAACGAAAGUCCUGAGUCUAAAAUGGUAAGACUGCACCCUUGAUGUAUGUUUGUCUCAUUUGAAUUGAAAAAUCUAAAAGGGAAAUAACAAAAACCAUUGAGGCCUUUC
rnacentral:lncRNA from 1 species